AGAGAGAGACAUGCGCGCAUAUCAAUAAGCGGAGGAAAAGAAACUAACAAGGAUUCCCUUAGUAACGGCGAGUGAAGCGGGAAGAGCUCAAAUUUGAAAUCUUCAAGGUUUUACCUUGACGAAUUGUAGUUUAAAGAAGUGUUUUCUGCUGAAGUUUUGGUAAAAGUUCUUUGGAAUAGGACAUCAUAGAGGGUGAGAAUCCCGUAUUUGACCAUUAUUUUCAGCUUUGUGAUACACUUUCAAAGAGUCGGAUUGUUUGGGAAUGCAGUCCAAAAUGGGUGGUAAAUUUCAUCUAAAGCUAAAUAUUGGCGAGAGACCGAUAGCGAACAAGUACCGUGAGGGAAAGAUGAAAAGAACUUUGAGAAGAGAGUUAAACAGUACGUGAAAUUGUCAAAAGGGAAGCGUUUGACACCAGUGUUGUUUUCUCGAAAAUCAAUUAAAAAUGGCUCGAUUUUGUAUUGUUGAGACCUUAAAAGCUCACUGUACAUUUUUCGUGUCUUUUUUAAUGCACUUUUCGUUUAACAAGUCAACAUCAGUUUCUUUUGUUGUAAAAGGGUCAUUGGAAGGUGGCUUUCUUUUCGGAGAAAGUGUUUAUAGCCUUUGGCCUCUGCAAUCGGAGAGACUGAGGUCAUGCAGCGUAGACUCUUCGGGGUUAGAUACAUUUGUGCUAAGCUAUAGCUUUUUAUAGACAACUUGUUGACUAUAAUUAGUCUUGUAGCUUACUCGCUUAUGCUAUUUUACCUACGCUUAGGAUGUUGAAGAUGUAGCACAUCAU
rnacentral:rRNA from 1 species